UGAUUUGUUUCAACUACUUUCAUUUCUCUUUCUCUCUCUUACUCUAACUUUCUCUCUCUUCUCUUUAACGAUUUCAAUUUCGCACUUUCACUUUCGUCGUCGAUUUGUCUUCAGCAUCUAAUACUUGCACCUUGCUGAUCUCGAAAUUUCAGUCCUAAUUUCAUCAUUUACUUUUGAGUAUUUCUAGAGGAAAAUUCAUGGCUAAUUUAGUCGAUUUGAGUCGUUCGUGUUGCUGCCCUUUGCUGCGCAUAAUGUCAUUCUUGGACGCUUUUGCUGCUGUAUUUCUUAAGAAGCCUUGUAUUUUUUUUUUUUUUUUUUUUUGUGUAAUUAAUAUAUACUGCACAAUUAAUAUGGAUUUUGUUACAAUAGUAUAUAAUAUGAUUUGUGUUUUUUUUUUAUGACAA